rnacentral:tRNA from 3 species
GGUAAAAUGGCUGAGUGAAGCAUUAGACUGUAAAUCUAAGGACAGAGGUUUGAUUCCUCUUUUUACCA